GACGAACGCUGGCGGCGUGCUUAACACAUGCAAGUCGAACGGAGUGGCGAACGGGUGAGUAACACGUGGGUGAUCUGCCUUGCACUUCGGGAUAAGCUUGGGAAACUGGGUCUAAUACCGGAUAGUGCAAGAUGAGCUCGCGGGCUAUCAGCUUGUUGGUGGGGUAAUGGCCUACCAAGGCGUCGAAGGGUAGCCGGCCUGGGAGGGUGUACGGCCCCAUUGGGACUGCGGUACGGCCCAGACGCCUACGGGGGGCAGGAGGUGGGAAUAUUGCACAAUUGGGCGAAGCCUGAUGCAGCGACGCCGGGGGGGGGAUGAAGGCCUUCGGGUUGGAAACUCCUUUCGACAGGGACGCGGUACCUGUAUAAGAAGCACCGGCUAACUACGUGCCAGCAGCCGCGGUAAUAC
rnacentral:rRNA from 1 species